GAGUGUGUAGCUUAGUCGGUAGAGUAUUAGCUUGUCGAGCUAAAUGCCGUGGGUUCAAGUCCCACCACGCUCG
rnacentral:tRNA from 1 species